GAUGAACGCUAGCGAUAGGCCUAACACAUGCAAGUCGAGGGGCAUCACAUGAAGUAGCAAUACGGAUGGUGGCGACCGGCGCACGGGUGAGUAACGCGUAUGCAAUCUACCUACAACAAGGGGAUAACCCGUUGAAAGACGGACUAAUACCCUAUAAUACAGGGGUUCCGCAUGGGACUAUUUGUUAAAGAUUCAUCGGUUGUAGAUGAGCAUGCGUUCCAUUAGCUGGUUGGUGGGGUAACGGCCCACCAAGGCAACGAUGGAUAGGGGAACUGAGAGGUUUAUCCCCCACACUGGUACUGAGACACGGACCAGACUCCUACGGGAGGCAGCAGUGAGGAAUAUUGGUCAAUGGACGCAAGUCUGAACCAGCCACGUCGCGUGAAGGAAGACGGCCCUACGGGUUGUAAACUUCUUUUGUAAGGGAAUAAAGUGAGUCACGGGUGACUUUUUGCAUGUACCUUACGAAUAAGGAUCGGCUAACUCCGUG
rnacentral:rRNA from 1 species